GAGUUUGAUCCUGGCUCAGGAUGAACGCUAGCGGCAGGCCUAACACAUGCAAGUCGAACGGCUCUUCGGAGCAGUGGCGGACGGGUGAGUAACGCGUGGGAACGUGCCCUUUGGUUCGGAACAACACAGGGAAACUUGUGCUAAUACCGGAUGUGCCCUUCGGGGGAAAGAUUUAUCGCCAUUGGAGCGGCCCGCGUUGGAUUAGGUAGUUGGUGGGGUAAAGGCCCACCAAGCCUACGAUCCAUAGCUGGUCUGAGAGGAUGAUCAGCCACACUGGGACUGAGACACGGCCCAGACUCCUACGGGAGGCAGCAGUGGGGAAUCUUGCGCAAUGGGCGAAAGCCUGACGCAGCCAUGCCGCGUGAAUGAUGAAGGUCUUAGGAUUGUAAAAAUUCUUUCACCGGGGAAGAUAAUGACGGUA
rnacentral:rRNA from 1 species